CUCUAGCUUCCUUGUUCUUUCUAGAUUAUCAGUGACUUCUAAUGCAGAGAAGUCUGCUGGGCUCCACCUGGUACCUCAAAGCUACCUCCCAACCCCGCAUGAAGGUCUGCAAUUCUCUUGAGACAGAAAAGAACACUUCUGACCUAAAGUAGCGGUUUUGAAGAUUUUUGGUUUCCAAACACCCUUUCAACACUCAAAAUUUACAGAGGACCUCAAUCAGUUUACUUUGUGUGGGUAUCUGUGUUUGUGUAUCUGUGUGCGCAUACUGAAAACUGAAAAUACAUUACAUGCUUAUUUACUCAUCCAUUUCUAACUAGCAACAAUGAACACACUGGACAUUAAUAACAUAUUAGUGAUAUUACAGAAUUAAUCCUGACUUUAUGGAACCAGUAAAAUGAAUCCUUAA